AUACGUAGGGGGCGAGCGUUGUCCGGAAUUACUGGGCGUAAAGGGUGCGUAGGAGGAACUUUAAGUUGGAUGUGAAAUCCCCGUGCUUAACAUGGGAGCUGCAUCCAAUACUGGAGAGCUAGAGUGCAGGAGAGGUAAGCGGAAUUCCUAGUGUAGCGGUGAAAUGCGUAGAUAUUAGGAGGAACACCAGUGGCUAAGGCGGCUUACUGGACUGUACACGACACUGAGGCACGAAAGCGUGUGUAGCAAACAGGAUUAGAUACCCUGUGAGUUCACGCUGUAAUCGAUGACUGCUAGUUGUAGGCCAGCGAUGGUCAGUGCCGCAGUAAACACAUUAAGCACUCCGCCUGGGGAGUACGUUUGCAAGGUUGAAACUAAAAGGAAUUGACGG
rnacentral:rRNA from 1 species